rnacentral:rRNA from 2 species
ACGGGAGGCAGCAGUGGGGAAUAUUGCACAAUGGGCGCAAGCCUGAUGCAGCCAUGCCGCGUGUGUGAAGAAGGCCUUCGGGUUGUAAAGCACUUUCAGCGAGGAGGAAGGUGGUGAGCUUAAUACGCUCAUCAAUUGACGUUACUCGCAGAAGAAGCACCGGCUAACUCCGUGCCAGCAGCCGCGGUAAUACGGAGGGUGCAAGCGUUAAUCGGAAUUACUGGGCGUAAAGCGCACGCAGGCGGUUUGUUAAGU